AUUGAACGCUGGCGGCAGGCCUAACACAUGCAAGUCGAGCGGCAGCGGGAAAGUAGCUUGCUACUUUUGCCGGCGAGCGGCGGACGGGUGAGUAAUGCCUGGGAAAUUGCCCAGUCGAGGGGGAUAACAGUUGGAAACGACUGCUAAUACCGCAUACGCCCUACGGGGGAAAGCAGGGGACCUUCGGGCCUUGCGCGAUUGGAUAUGCCCAGGUGGGAUUAGCUAGUUGGUGAGGUAAUGGCUCACCAAGGCGACGAUCCCUAGCUGGUCUGAGAGGCUGAUCAGCCACACUGGAACUGAGACACGGUCCAGACUCCUACGGGAGGCAGCAGUGGGGAAUAUUGCACAAUGGGGGAAACCCUGAUGCAGCCAUGCCGCGUGUGUGAAGAAGGCCUUCGGGUUGUAAAGCACUUUCAGCGAGGAGGAAAGGUUGAUGCCUAAUACGUAUCAACUGUGACGUUACUCGCAGAAGAAGCACCGGCUAACUCCGUGCCAGCCGCCGCUGUAAAAC
rnacentral:rRNA from 1 species